rnacentral:lncRNA from 1 species
UAUUAUGAAAAUGUUGCACCAUCCUAACAUAGUUAAUCUCAUUGAGGUGAUUGACGACCCAGACAUAGAUCAUUUCUACAUGGGUAUUUAUCUCUCUCUCUCUCUCUCUCUCUCUCUCUCUCUCUCUCUCUCUCUCUACACAUUUUAAACUUAUUUGCUUGAUUCUGCAAUCAUGAUGCCUUUUCAAACUUAUCCCAAAUAGAGAAAGGGAAAUUCAAA